GCGGGUGUAGCUCAGGGGUAGAGCGUCAGCUUCCCAAGCUGAAUGCCGUGGGUUCGAAUCCCAUCACCCGCUCCA
rnacentral:tRNA from 1 species